rnacentral:snRNA from 1 species
AAGUUCUUGCUUUAUCUGCUCUUAAGUCCUCAAAUUGGUAUGAUAAUGAGAAGAUUUCCAUGGAUCCUGCUCAAAAAUGGAAUGCAAAUUCAUGAAAUAUUCUAUAUUAUU